rnacentral:lncRNA from 1 species
ACCGACAGUUGGAGGCUUCUGGGAGCAGCUGGAAGAAGAUGAGGGUUCCUGGAGACAGGUGGAGGCUGCUAGAGUCAGCUGAGGGGAAGUGGGGGCAGCUGGGGUCAGUGGAGGCCAGUGGGGUCAUCUGUUGAUGCUAUCAGAGGAAAAUUCCUUACUGCUCCCAUCUUCAUCAUUGAUGAUAACCCAAUUUCUAAAGCUGUGAUACUUGGCCAGGUGCUGUGGUGAACAGGCUGUGUAUUCCAGGCAAUGUCGAUUUGAUCCAAGAAAACGCAGAAGCGUUGGUUCAGAGACAGCAGGAGUGACCAUUCCUGACCAAGGCGUUAUCUCCUCGGCGUACACUCACGGGGCCAGCUCUCUUCACUCACAGCCCAGAUCUUUUGUUAUAAGAUCUUGUUGUUUAACCACUUGGGAAUCUGAAGAAAUCGGAGGGCUUGCACUACCUUUCUGGGAUAAUCAUCUUUCUCUGAAGGUUUGAGUCCCACCCCAUUCUUCUGGCUCACCCUCGCUCUCCCAGUCUCUCUCUCUCUCUCUCUCUCUCUCUCUCUCUCUCUCUCUCUCUCUCUCUGCACAUCAGCUCACUGCAGUCCAGUGCAGCCCUGAGGUCUGCUUGGCCCCGGACCUGGUGUGCAGUUACUUCCUGCCCUCUCUCCCCUCAUGGUCAGGCUUCUGUCUCCAAAGGGAAGGAACCUAUCACACAAAGAGAAACAAUGUGCUGUCCAUUGUUGUUCAGCUUCCAUGUCCUAGUGUCUAACAUCUGAAGAUACCCUGCACAUUUACCUCAAUUUGUUGAAUUGUUUUUCCAAGCUGUGUGUUUUUUUUCAUCAGGUUUAAUCUCUCUGAUUUCUUCCUCAGGUCUCAUUGGCCCAACUGUUUUCACAGGUAUAUAAAUUAGAUCGUUAUUAAAAAGUUUAAC